rnacentral:piRNA from 1 species
UGAAGAAAAUGUCUCUUCCUCCUCUAGCGACC